rnacentral:misc_RNA from 1 species
GAUGAAGAACGCAGCGAAAUGCGAUACGUAAUGUGAAUUGCAGAAUUCAGUGAAUCAUCGAAUCUUUGAACGCAUAUUGCGCUCUCUGGUAUUCCGGAGAGCAUGCUUGUUUGAGUAUCAGUAAACACCUCAACUUCCAUAUCUUUUUUGAAAUGGGAGUUGGACUUGAGUGAUCCCAACGCUUUUCCUCACCGAAAAGUGGCGGGUUACUUGAAAUGCAGGUGCAGCUGGACUUUUCUCUGAGCUAUAAGCAUAUCUAUUUAGUCUGCCUAGAAAACAGAUUAUUACCUUUGCUGCAGCUAACAUAAAGGAGAUUAGUUCUUGUGCUGACUGAUGCAGGAUUCACAAAGACAGGCUUCGGCCGACUUUGUAAACUCGAUCUCAAAUCAAGUACGACUACCCGCUGAACUUAAGCAUAUCAAUAGGCGGAGGA